rfam:Myotis lucifugus cont2.34018, whole genome shotgun sequence.
GGCUGGGUGGCUCAGUUGCCUAGAGCAUUGUCUUGAUAUGUCAAGGUUGCAGGUUCGAUCCCCCAGUCA